rnacentral:rRNA from 1 species
UACGUAGGGGGCAAGCGUUGUCCGGAUUUAUUGGGCGUAAAGAGCGUGUAGGCGGCCUGGAAGGUCCGUUGUGAAAACUCGAGGCUCAACCUCGAGACGCCGAUGGAAACCACCUGGCUAGAGUCCGGAAGAGGAGAGUGGAAUUCCUGGUGUAGCGGUGAAAUGCGCAGAUAUCAGGAAGAACACCCGUGGCUAAGGCGGUUCUCUAGUACGGUACUGACGCUGAGACGCGAAAGCGUGGGGAGCGAACAGG